rnacentral:rRNA from 1 species
GACGUAGGGCGCGAGCGUUGUCCGGAUUUAUUGGGCGUAAAGAGCUCGUAGGCGGCUUGUCGCGUCGUCCGUGAAAACCUGCGGCUCAACUGCAGGCUGGCGGUCGAUACGGGCAGGCUGGAGUUCGGUGGGGGAGACUGGAAUUCCUGGUGUAGCGGUGAAAUGCGUAGAUAUCGGGAGGAACACCAGUGGCGAAGGCGACUACCUGGCCUGUUCUUGACGCUGAGGCGCGAAAGCUAGGGGAGCAAACGGG